AUUGAACGCUGGCGGCAGGCCGAACACAUGCAAGUCGAGCGAGCGGCGGACGGGUGAGUAAUGUCUGGGAAACUGCCUGAUGGAGGUUGAUAAAUACUGGAAGCGGUAGCUAAUACCGCAUACAAUCAGAUGUGCCCAUAUGGGAUUAGCUAGUAGAUGGGGUAAUCGCUCACCUAGGCGACGAUCCCUAGCUGGGCUGAUCGGAUGCCCAACCACACUGGAACUGAGAUACGGUCCAGACUCGUACGGGAGUCAGCAGUGGGGAAUAUUGCACAAGGGGCGCAAGCCUGAUGCAGCCAUGCCGCGUGUGUGAAGAAGGCCUUAGGGUUGUAAAGCACUUUCAGCGGGGAGGCGUUACCCACAGAAGAAGCACCGGCUAACUCCGUGCCAGCAGCCGCGGUAAUUC
rnacentral:rRNA from 1 species